rnacentral:rRNA from 1 species
AGAGUUUGAUCAUGGCUCAGAACGAACGCUGGCGGCAGGCCUAACACAUGCAAGUCGAGCGCCCGCAAGGGAGCGGCAGACGGGUGAGUAACGCGUGGGAACGUGCCCUUUGGUUCGGAAUAUUCCCGGGAAACUGGGAGCAAAACCGGAUAAGCCCUUCGGGGGAAAGUUUACGCCAAAGGAUCGGCCCGCGUUAGAUUAGGUAGUUGGUGGGGUAACGGCCUACCAAGCCUACGAUCUAUAGCUGAUCUGAGAGGAUGAUCAGCCACACUGGGACUGAGACACGGCCCAGACUCCUACGGGAGGCAGCAGUGGGGAAUCUUGGACAAUGGGCGCAAGCCUGAUCCAGCCAUGCCGCGUGGAUGACUGAAGGCCCUAGGGUUGUAAAGUCCUUUCGACGGGGACGAUAAUGACGGUACCCGUAGAAGAAGCCCCGGCUAACUUCGUGCCAGCAGCCGCGGUAAUACGAAGGGGGCUAGCGUUGUUCGGAUUUACUGGGCGUAAAGGGCGCGUAGGCGGAUUUUUAAGUCGGGGGUGAAAUCCCGGAGCUCAACUCCGGAACUGCCUUCGAUACUGGAAGUCUGGAGCACGGUAGAGGUGAGUGGAAUUCCGAGUGUAGAGGUGAAAUUCGUAGAUAUUCGGAGGAACACCAGUGGCGAAGGCGGCUCACUGAACCGUUGCUGACGCUGAGGCGCGAAAGCGUGGGGAGCAAACAGGAUUAGAUACCCCGGUA